AUUGAACGCUGGCGGCAUGCCUUACACAUGCAAGUCGAACGGCAGCACGGGAGCAAUCCUGGUGGCGAGUGGCGAACGGGUGAGUAAUAUAUCGGAACGUGCCCAGUCGUGGGGGAUAACGCAGCGAAAGCUGUGCUAAUACCGCAUACGAUCUCUGGAUGAAAGCGGGGGACCGCAAGGCCUCGCGCGAUUGGAGCGGCCGAUAUCAGAUUAGCUAGUUGGUGGGGUAAAAGCUUACCAAGGCGACGAUCUGUAGCUGGUCUGAGAGGACGACCAGCCACACUGGAACUGAGACACGGUCCAGACUCCUACGGGAGGCAGCAGUGGGGAAUUUUGGACAAUGGGCGCAAGCCUGAUCCAGCAAUGCCGCGUGCAGGAUGAAGGCCUUCGGGUUGUAAACUGCUUUUGUACGGAACGAAACGGCCCUUUCUAAUACAAAGGGCUAAUGACGGUACCGUAAGAAUAAGCACCGGCUAACUACGUGCCAGCCGCCGCAGUAAAAC
rnacentral:rRNA from 1 species